CAAAAACAUCGCCUCUUGUUUAAACAUAAGAGGUCCCGCCUGCCCUGUGACAAUGUUCAACGGCCGCGGUAUUUCGCCCGUGCAAAGGUAGCGUAAUCACUUGUCUUUUAAAUAAAGACCCGUAUGAAAGGCAUCACGAGAGCUUAACUGUCUCUAUUUUCUAAUCAAUGAAAUUGAUCUAUUCGUGCAGAAGCGAAUAUAAUAACAUUAGACGAGAAGACCCUAUGGAGCUUCAAACACUUAGACUAAUUAUGUAAAUUUUUUCCGCCUAUUGGUAAAAACAAUAAUAUAAUAUUUCUAGUUUAAUUGUUUUUGGUUGGGGUGACCAAGGGGAAAAACAAAUCCCCCUUAUCGACCAAGUACUCAGUACUUAAAAAUUAAAGCGACAGCUUUAAUCAAUAAAACAUUUAUCGAAAAAUGACCCAGGAUUUCCUGAUCAAUGAACCAAGUUACCCUAGGGAUAACAGCGCAAUCCUUUCCCAGAGUUCCUAUCGACGAAGGGGUUUACGACCUCGAUGUUGGAUCAGGACAUCCUAAUGGUGCAACCG
rnacentral:rRNA from 1 species